GCUGGGUGUGGUGGCUCAUGCCUGUAAUCCCAGCACUUUGGGAGGCAGAGACAAGAGGAUCACUUGAGCCCAGGACUUCGAGACCAGCCUGGGCAACAUAGUGAGACCCUGUCUCUA
ensembl:misc_RNA Metazoa_SRP Metazoan signal recognition particle RNA